GCGGGGAUCGCCCAGCUUGGUCAAAGGCGCCAGAUUCAGGGUCUGGUCUCGUAGGAGUUCGUGGGUUCAAAUCCCUCUCCCCGCA
rnacentral:tRNA from 2 species